GAGCGGUGGAUUUGGCCGUGGUGAGGUAGUUGGUCCAUAUAUUAUGGAGGUGCCUAAUGCAGUGGGGGAUGAUCCUGCCAAGACUGAGGCAGAGAUAUACGCUGAAAAGACGGACGCACUAGCUCUAGCUCUUGUGGACAUGAUGGAGUUCAUGGAUCAGCAUAUCGGUCUACCUCGGCCUCCUGAAGCUUUUGAUAGGCUUGUAUUAG